ACCUGGGAAUUCACUUUAGUUCCUAUCUUUACCCUAGGUGUCGUGUAGAAGCAACUCAUUUACUUCACAUCUCACUAUGAUGCACCCCAUCUUGGAGAAGUGAUCAACUAAAAUGCAGGAGUCAUGACCAUGUUGCAUCUUUGGCAGCUCGAAGGCAAGAUCUAUGAUCUUCCCAUGGUCCACUUGGUACAGGUAACAGAAUUGUACAGCCUAGUGUUUGUGUACAUCCUUACCAAGUUGGCAUGCUCGACAUAGUUGCCCAACAGUCUCAACAUCUCUCUUGACGCCAAGCUUGUAGAAAUGGUCUUCAAGAAUCAUGGUUGUUGUCUUAAUCCUGAAGUGGCCACCAGAGUGCAACUUGCACACAACUAGCUCUCACAACAAGCCUUUUGGAAUGCAUAAACUCAUAACGUAGAACAAAUGUCCAAUUAUCUGGGGAAAAUCGCUGAUACUCAUCAUCUGAUCAGAAACUGCACAGUAUAGUCAAGAGAGCAUUUUUCUGCUGAGGGCAUCUGCUACAUUUGUUCUCUAUGCCCGCUCUCUGUUUGGGGUUAAAGGUGAACUCCUGAAUAUAUGCACUCCACUUGGUAAUGCCAUGGCACUCAAUUUCCUUUUGGAGUUUAGGUACCCCAAGGCCUCAUGGUCAGAAUGGAGCACUAACUUUGGAUGAAAUAGAUGGUGUCUCUGUUUCCUGGAUCAGAACACACAUACCUACCCGACAGCAUCACAUGCUGCUUUGAAGACUUGGCAGCUUUUUAAACUCUUCAAAAGCGUCAAUCGCUGCUUUAGUCUAUUCAAAGGAACCUGCUUGUGUGCACUCAGUAAUUGGUGCCAUGAUGGAACUGAAGUUCCUAAUAAACGUUCAAUACAAGACUGUUAGCAUGUGAACUGUGAACCGUGAGAAUGCUUGCCGGAGCCAGCUGGUCAAGGGUAGCCUUUAUCUUGUCAGAAUCAGCCUUGGCAUGUUCAGUUGACAUAAUGCAUCCUGGGAAGACUACGUUGUGUUACACUUCUUCAAGUGCAUGAAGAUUUUCUCUUUAUGGUGAACUCCCAUCAAUUGUCGUAGAUCGAUUAAAGGAUCAUCAGGUGAACAACUGUAUAUGAGAUUAUAAGAAAUAUCAUCAAAAUAAAUAAGCCUAUGAAUGGCCGUAGGAUCUUUAUCAUCAUCUGCAUUGCUAUCACACACUUUUGUCAGGUACCAUCCUUCAUUGGCAUCGUAGCAUAGCUGCAUAGGCACCUGCAAGAUGAUUGUUUUGGAUCCUGGUGGAAUUCAAAGAUUGAGUACCUCUUUUCCCUCUAUUUCAGCCUUUGGUUAGUAGUUGAUUGGUCCGCAGGUUCGUCCUUCACCUUCUUCAGGCCUGUCCAUGCGUGUUCUUCAUCAUACCGUUCGAGACUUUGAGCUAAUACAAAUUUAAAUUUGGUGUUUUCCAAUUUGUCAUCUACUAAUCAAAGACUUCUUCAUC